UGAGAUUGUGCAUCCUGGUAUUUGUCUUCUACUGAAUCUUGUUGUUCGUCGUAAUUGGAGUUAGAAUCAAUGAAUUCAAGACUUUCACGGCUCUGAGAUGUACACAUCAGAUUCAGAUCAAAUGAAAUCGAGAUGGGAUUGAUAUUUUUGGUGUUUUGGGUGCGCCUUCACUUCAAGAUGACUUUUACUUAAUCUUGUGGAUUGGUCCUCACAAAAUACUCUAGCAGUGGGGCUUGGCACUUGUGUUUAUCUAUGGAGUAUGGAGUGCUUCAAAUAGCAAAGUGACUAAGCUUUGUCACCAAACUAAGCUCUUAUAUGUGUAUAAACAUGCAGGUCUGUAACCUUCCUUGAAGUAAAAAUGUAAAUGAGCUAAUAAGUACUCAUGGUUACUCACAAAAUCAUCA